GAUGAACGCUGGCGGCGUGCCUAAUACAUGCAAGUCGAGCGAACGGACGAGAAGCUUGCUUCGCUGAUGUUAGCGGCGGACGGGUGAGUAACACGUGGAUAACCUACCUAUAAGACUGGGAUAACUUCGGGAAACCGUAGCUAAUACCGGAUAAUAUUUUGAACCGCAUGGUUCAAAAGUGAAAGACGGUCUUGCUGUCACUUAUAGAUGGAUCCGCGCUGCAUUAGCUAGUUGGUAAGGUAACGGCUUACCAAGGCAACGAUGCAUAGCCGACCUGAGAGGGUGAUCGGCCACACUGGAACUGAGACACGGUCCAGACUCCUACGGGAGGCAGCAGUAGGGAAUCUUCCGCAAUGGGCGAAAGCCUGACGGAGCAACGCCGCGUGAGUGAUGAAGGUCUUCGGAUCGUAAAACUCUGUUAUUAGGGAAGAACAUAUGUGUAAGUAACUGUGCACAUCUUGACGGUACCUAAUCAGAAAGCCACGGCUAACUACGUG
rnacentral:rRNA from 1 species